GUGGGUAUAGCUCAGUGGUAGAGUACAUGCUUAGCAUGCACAAGGUCAUGGGUUCAAUCCUCAGUACCUCCA
rnacentral:tRNA from 1 species